GUGAGAAAGAUUUCACGUAACUUAAAGCCUUUAGACCAGAUGAGCUAAAAGUAAUAGGCUCAUGCUAAAUAUGUAGAUGUAAGAUUGAACAAUCCCUGAUAUGAUCCUGUCGACCGCACGCACAUCUUAAGUAUAUAUAAGACCAACUUCUAGAUUUCUGGUCAGUGUGUUUUCUUCUUGAAAUACAUAACUAUGAAGAUCGGCUGUCUUCUUUUUGUUUGCAUCGUUGCCGGCAGUCAGGCUCGUUCCGUUGGUAAAACUAGAAGUAAAAGUAGUUUCCUAGAGGAUAUGAGGUAAAGGUCAAUGUUGAAUACGAUUAUUGAUGGAUGUCCUUGGUGCGGCGUUCCUAAACAACAUGUACCGUCCAACCCCAAUUCCUUAAUGCAACCUGCACUAUCCUCAGACCUUGAUUCCGCAUUGCAGAACAUUCUAAAUGAAUUCCCGAACCUCCAGAAGCCUUAGGUGGUAACUGGCAAUCCAAAGAAUAUACUAACCUAAAUAAGCCUAUAUCUGAUAUCUUUUCAUUAAAAAGUAUAUAAAUCAAAACGUGUUAUAUUAUCGACAGAAAUCACCUGUCCGUUUUGUUGGAUUAUCGCUAUUAAAGUUGGUAUGGUACACCUGUAGAUAUUGACGAUGAUAAAAGUACAUUAUAAUCAAAAUACGUUUGUUGUAAUUAACAAACCUUAGCAUACCUGGAAUCUUUUUAAAAGAGGAAAGACAUUGAAUUUUAUGACCCAGAAUUUUUUUUAUCGUUAGCAUCACUUAUUCUUAUAUGCUAAAAUUACAUUAUCUAGAAGACAAUCUUGAUAUUUUCAUACAGGUGAAUCACGAUACCUCAAACUUCAGGAUUACACUUCGAGAGAUCAAAAGUUUGAGAGAUUAAAAGUUAUAAAAAAAAAAUCCGGAAAUCAUCACAUGUUCUGGUCGAAGCUAAUUGUACGCUUGAUCGGUCGCAUGUGUACACAACCUCAACUGUGAGUUAUCAAGAGUGAAGGGCAAUGAAGUAUAUAAACCCAUGUCGGAUUUCAAGAUAUCGAAGUUUAAGAGAUGAAGAGUAAAUCUGCUUGAUUAUAUAGAGGAAAAAGUCGGAACUGCGGUUUAACUUCGUUAGAUCAAGAACUUCGAGAGAACGAAGUUCGAACCAUCGAGUGCCACCUGUAAAUGUAUGUUCAAGCAGUCAAUUGUUGCCGUUGACUCAAUUGAGCAUUGUGUGUGUUAAC